AAAUUGAAGAGUUUGAUCAUGGCUCAGAUUGAACGCUGGCGGCAGGCCUAACACAUGCAAGUCGAACGGUAACAGGAAGCGCUUGCUGCUUCGCUGACGAGUGGCGGACGGGUGAGUAAUGUCUGGGAAACUGCCUGAUGGAGGGGGAUAACUACUGGAAACGGUAGCUAAUACCGCAUAACGUCGCAAGACCAAAGAGGGGGACCUUCGGGCCUCUUGCCAUCGGAUGUGCCCAGAUGGGAUUAGCUUGUUGGUGGGGUAACGGCUCACC
rnacentral:rRNA from 9 species